rnacentral:rRNA from 1 species
UCCUACGGGAGGCAGCAGUAGGGAAUCUUUCGCAAUGGACGAAAGUCUGACGGAGCAACGCCGCGUGAACGAUGAAGGCCUUCGGGUCGUAAAGUUCUGUUGUUAGGGAAGAACAAGUACCAGAGUAACUGCUGGUACCUUGACGGUACCUAACCAGAAAGCCACGGCUAACUACGUGCCAGCAGCCGCGGUAAUACGUAGGUGGCAAGCGUUGUCCGGAAUUAUUGGGCGUAAAGCGCGCGCAGGCGGUUUCUUAAGUCUGAUGUGAAAGCCCACGGCUCAACCGUGGAGGGUCAUUGGAAACUGGGGAACUUGAGUGCAGAAGAGGAGAGUGGAAUUCCACGUGUAGCGGUGAAAUGCGUAGAGAUGUGGAGGAACACCAGUGGCGAAGGCGACUCUCUGGUCUGUAACUGACGCUGAGGCGCGAAAGCGUGGGGAGCGAACAGGAUUAGAUACCCUGGUAGUCCACGCCGUAAACGAUGAGUGCUAAGUGUUAGAGGGUUUCCGCCCUUUAGUGCUGCAGCAAACGCAUUAAGCACUCCGCCUGGGGAGUACGGUCGCAAGACUGAAACUCAAAGGAAUUGACGGGGGCCCGCACAAGCGGUGGAGCAUGUGGUUUAAUUCGAAGCAACGCGAAGAACCUUACCAGGUCUUGACAUCCUUCGCUACUUCUAGAGAUAGAAGGUUCCCCUUCGGGGGACAAAGUGACAGGUGGUGCAUGGUUGUCGUCAGCUCGUGUCGUGAGAUGUUGGGUUAAGUCCCGCAACGAGCCCAACCCUUGAUCUUAGUUGCCAGCAUUCAGUUGGGCACUCUAAGGGGACUGCCGGUGACAAACCGGAGGAAGGUGGGGAUAACGUCAAAUCAUCAUGCCCCUUAUGACCUG